rnacentral:miRNA from 1 species
AUCGAAAAGGCAUCAUCAAUCAGG